rnacentral:rRNA from 1 species
UGUUUCGGCUAGGGGGCCAUCCCGGCUUACCAACCCGAUGCAAACUGCGAAUACCGGAGAAUGUUAUCACGGGAGACACACGGCGGGUGCUAACGUCCGUCGUGAAGAGGGAAACAACCCAGACCGCCAGCUAAGGUCCCAAAGUCAUGGUUAAGUGGGAAACGAUGUGGGAAGGCCCAGACAGCCAGGAUGUUGGCUUAGAAGCAGCCAUCAUUUAAAGAAAGCGUAAUAGCUCACUGGUCGAGUCGGCCUGCGCGGAAGAUGUAACGGGGCUAAACCAUGCACCGAAGCUGCGGCAGCGAACGUAUCACUUAAAGCGAUUCAGCGGGUUACGAUUGACGGAGCGAAGCGACGUCAAAGCGUAUACAAAGUCGAGUCGGUUUAAGGAUACGUUCGUUGGGUAGGGGAGCGUUCUGUAAGCCUGCGAAGGUGGCCUGUGAGGGUUGCUGGAGGUAUCAGAAGUGCGAAUGCUGACAUAAGUAACGAUAAAGCGGGUGAAAAGCCCGCUCGCCGGAAGACCAAGGGUUCCUGUCCAACGUUAAUCGGGGCAGGGUGAGUCGACCCCUAAGGCGAGGCCGAAAGGCGUAGUCGAUGGGAAACGGGUUAAUAUUCCCGUACUUGGUGUUACUGCGAAGGGGGGACGGAGAAGGCUAUGUUGGCCGGGCGACGGUUGUCCCGGUUUAAGCGUGUAGGUGUGUGUUCCAGGUAAAUCCGGUUCACUUUAACACUGAGGCGUGACGACGAGGCACUACGGUGCUGAAGUAACAAAUGCCCUGCUUCCAGGAAAAGCCUCUAAGCAUCAGGUAACAUCAAAUCGUACCCCAAACCGACACAGGUGGUCAGGUAGAGAAUACCAAGGCGCUUGAGAGAACUCGGGUGAAGGAACUAGGCAAAAUGGUGCCGUAACUUCGGGAGAAGGCACGCUGACACGUAGGUGAAGUGAUUUACUCAUGGAGCUGAAGUCAGUCGAAGAUACCAGCUGGCUGCAACUGUUUAUUAAAAACACAGCACUGUGCAAACACGAAAGUGGACGUAUACGGUGUGACGCCUGCCCGGUGCCGGAAGGUUAAUUGAUGGGGUCAGCGCAAGCGAAGCUCCUGAUCGAAGCCCCGGUAAACGGCGGCCGUAACUAUAACGGUCCUAAGGUAGCGAAAUUCCUUGUCGGGUAAGUUCCGACCUGCACGAAUGGCGUAAUGAUGGCCAGGCUGUCUCCACCCGAGACUCAGUGAAAUUGAACUCGCUGUGAAGAUGCAGUGUACCCGCGGCAAGACGGAAAGACCCCGUGAACCUUUACUAUAGCUUGACACUGAACAUUGAGCCUUGAUGUGUAGGAUAGGUGGGAGGCUUUGAAGUGUGGACGCCAGUCUGCAUGGAGCCGACCUUGAAAUACCACCCUUUAAUGUUU